rnacentral:rRNA from 1 species
CCCUUAGAUGUUCUGGGCCGCACGCGCGCUACACUGACGGAGCCAGCGAGUACAUCACCUUAGCCGAAAGGUUUGGGUAAUCUUGUUAAACUCCGUCGUGCUGGGGAUAGAGCAUUGCAAUUAUUGCUCUUCAACGAGGAAUGCCUAGUAAGCGCAAGUCAUCAGCUUGCGUUGACUACGUCCCUGCCCUUUGUACACACCGCCCGUCGCUACUACCGAUUGAAUGGCUCAGUGAGGCUUUGGGACUGGCUCAGGGAGGUCGGCAACGACCACCCAGAGCCGGAAACUUAGUCAAACUUGGUCAUUUAGAGGAAGUAAAANUCGUAACA